rnacentral:rRNA from 1 species
UUGGUGAGUUUGAUCCUGGCUCGGGAUGAACGUUGGAGGCAUGCCUUGAGACAUGCAAGUUGGUCGGAAAUCAUUUCAAAUUUAAUUUCCGUAGCGGACGGGUGCGUAACACGUGAGAAUCAACCCUUAGGGACGAGGAUAAAGGUCGGUGACGAUUUCUAAAACUCUAUAAGCCGUGUCAAUUACCCAUGUAGUUGUCGGUGAAGAUUUCCUAGGGACGAGCUUGCGCCUGAUUAGUUAGUUGGCGAGGUAAUGGCUCACCAAGACUAUGAUCAGUAGCUGGUUUGAGAGAGCGGUCAGCCACAUUGGGAUUGAGAUACGGCCCAAACUUCUUCGGGGGGCAGCAGUCGGGAAUUUUCCGCAAUGGGCGCAAGCCUGACGGAGCGAUGCCUUGUGGAGGAUGAAGGAUCAUAAAGGUUCGUAAACUCCUUUUAUUAAGGAACAUUAAUUGUCGUUUCCGUAUUUAGAUAGUACUUAAAGAAUCAAGUAUCGGCUAACUCUGUGCCAGCAGCCGCGGUAAUACGGGGGAUGCAAACGUUGUCCAGUUGUAUUGGGCGUAAAGCGUCCGUAGGUGGACUGGUAAGUUUAUUGUUAAAGAUUCUGGCUCAACCAGGAAAAAGCAAUGAAAACUGCUGGACUAGAGAGUGGACGGGGUGAAGAGAAUAUCUAGUGGAGCGGUAAAAUGCGAUGAUAUUAGGCGGAACACCAGUGGCGAAAGCGCUUCACUAGACCAUUUCUGACACUGAGGGACGAAAGCUAGGGGAGCAAAAAGGAUUAGGUACCCUUGUAGUCCUAUCGCUGUAAACGCUGGGUACUAGAUGUCGCAGUGGUGCGGUGUCUUAGCUAACGCGUUAAGUACCCCGCCUGGGGAGUACGCUCGCAAGGGUGAAACUCAAAGGAAUUGACGGGACCCCUCGCAAGCGGUGGAGCAUGCUGUUUAAUUCGAUCAACGCGAAGAACCUUACCUAGAUUUGACCUUCUAUAAAUCUCCAUGAAAAUGGAGGAAACCAAACUUACAUGGUGUAAAAGCUUCUUAGGGAGCAGUAGUUACAGGUGGUGCAUGGCUGUCGUCAGUUCGUGUCGUGAGAUGUCAGGUUAAGUCCUAGUAACGAACGCAACCCUUAUCCUUAGUUAAUUAUAUGUCUAGGGAAACGGCCAACGAUCAAGUUGGAGGAAGGAGAGGAUGACGUCAAGUCAGCAUGCCCCUUACGCCCUGGGCUACACACGUGCUACAAUGGCCGGGACAAAGAGCUGCAACCCCGCGAGGGCAAGCCAACCUCAAAAACCCGGUCUCAGUUCGGAUUGCAGGCUGCAACUCGCCUGCAU